UUCAAUUUUGUGUUUAGAGUCGUUUUAAGAUGUAAGGGUAGAAUUCUGCCCACUUACUGACGGCUGCAUGGAGGAUAUUUUGCAGGGUGGGAAGAGAGGGGUCAUUUGCGAUAUUUUAACGAGAAGGAAAGAGAGUCACCCUAUCAAGUCACUCAACACUGACCGGGUCACAUAUCACAUAUCACACAUCACAUAUGUCAAGGAGAAGCCUCACAGGUUAUUUAUCGCCAUCCUUUGAGAUUGAAAUCGAACUUUCCCCCCCCUGACUACCUCGGGAAUCGAACUCGCGGCUCUGGAGCUUGCAACCGUGUCACUGCACUUGCUUAGCUUCCAGACACUUGGAUUAGUGACAUGCUUUUACCUGACACGUGAGUAGUGUUUUUUUUUUGUUUUUUUUUUUUUUUAAUUUUUGUUCAAUUUUGAAGACUGCGAUGCUAAGGCAGCGCCAGCAGCCUAAUUCUAAAAGCUCGGCAGCUGCGUCUCACCUUUCAUUUGAACGAUCUCACCUGUCCUCCCGCUGAGAAGCGCCAUUACCUGAUUUGACGGGGCGAGGGGACAUCAAUGAUGUAAGGCGCGAGGUCUGUGUCGUGUUACGGUUGGGGACAGGGGGGUGGGCAGGGGAGCAGGGGAAGUAACGCCGGGGCUGGCACUAAUCAGAACAAGGGGAGGGGGACCGUGGCUGAGCUCGGCCCCGUAAUUACCAGGUGAAGGCGAGGUGUGUCACUAUUCGCGGCAGAGAUUCUCGGCUCGUGCGCGCGGUCAAUGCCGACCUCGUGGGAGGCGUGAGUAGGGGUCACCCUGAGACGUGUUGCAUAGGCGUAGCGAAUCGAGCGAAGCUAGCCAAUCUAGCCGGAAGUGUAAAGAGCGCGCCCCUACAAGCUAGCGAACCUAGACCCCUAGCGUAGCAAAGCUAGCGGCCUUUGGAGGUCCUACGCUUGCUAUUCAAAAUGGCCGACAUUGUUGUCGGUUUCAAGUUUGCAGAUGAGAGUUUCUUUGAUGCUCCCGUUAAAAAGGAGUAUUGGACCGGAAACAAAGUGAAAUGAAUGUGGGAAAUCAAUGGACCAAGGGGGCAUACUUUUCCUCAUGGACACUUAGGCCGAACAUAAGGAACAAUUUGUAAUUCCAACUUGAAAACAGAGGUAUGGAAGAGGAUUGCUUCGGAAAUGGCAGCCUCAGGAUGCCACUUUGCUCCAGCAGCACUUGAGAAAAAAAUGGAGCAAUAUGAAAAUAUGGUACAAAGCUAUAUUAGAUUUCAACAAGAAAACGGGCCAGGGAAGAUCACGAUGGAAUUUCUAUUCCAGAAUGGCUGAAAUCUUGGAAGGAGACCCUUUGUUCAUCCCACCACUGACAUCAUCAUCACUGGGGAGUGUAAAAGUAAACACUCUCUCCGAGAUCUCCAAUACCCAGCAAUGUGCCACCCCUACAAAGAAGCAAG